rnacentral:rRNA from 1 species
CGUGUAGGCUGUUGUGUGUGUCAGGUGUGAAAUCCCUCGGCUCAACCGAGGAACUGCACUUGAAACUGCGCAACUUGAAUCCGGUAGAGGGAGGCGGAAUUCCUGGUGUAGAGGUGAAAUUCGUAGAUAUCAGGAGGAACAUCGGAGGCGAAGGCGGCCUCCUGGGCCGGUAUUGACGCUGAGGCGCGAAAGCGUGGGGAGCAAACA